CUCAACUGUAGAAUUGCCAUUGAUACUGUUAACCUUGAGUAAUUAUGAAGUGGUUAGAAUAUGUAGUGUAGCGGUGAAAUGCAUAGAUAUUACAUAGAAUACCGAUUGCGAAGGCAGAUCACUAAUAAUGUACUGACGCUGAGGGACGAAAGCGUAGGUAGCGAACAGGAUUAGAUACCCUGGUAGUCUACGCCGUAAACGAUGGUUACUAGCUGUUUGGUCUAAUUGAGGACUGAGUGGCUAAGCGAAAGUGAUAAGUAACCCACCUGGGGAGUACGUUCGCAAGAAUGAAACUCAAAGGAAUUGACGGGGGCCCGCACAAGCGGUGGAGCAUGUGGUUUAAUUCGAUGAUACGCGAGGAACCUUACCAGGGCUUAAAUGCAGUCUGACAGGUCUGGAAACAGACUUUCCUUCGGGCAG
rnacentral:rRNA from 1 species